rnacentral:rRNA from 1 species
GGCGAGUGGCGACGGGUGAGUAAUAUAUCGGAACGUACCCUGGAGUGGGGGAUAACGUAGCGAAAGUUACGCUAAUACCGCAUACGAUCUAAGGAUGAAAGUGGGGGAUCGCAAGACCUCAUGCUCGUGGAGCGGCCGAUAUCUGAUUAGCUAGUUGGUAGGGUAAAAGCCUACCAAGGCAUCGAUCAGUAGCUGGUCUGAGAGGACGACCAGCCACACUGGAACUGAGACACGGUCCAGACUCCUACGGGAGGCAGCAGUGGGGAAUUUUGGACAAUGGGCGAAAGCCUGAUCCAGCAAUGCCGCGUGAGUGAAGAAGGCCUUCGGGUUGUAAAGCUCUUUUGUCAGGGAAGAAACGGUGAGAGCUAAUAUCUUUUGCUAAUGACGGUACCUGAAGAAUAAGCACCGGCUAACUACGUGCCAGCAGCCCGCNGGUAAUACGUAGGGUGCAAGCGUUAAUCGGAAUNUCCUGGGCGUAAAGCGUGCCGCAGGCGGUUUUGUAAGUCUGAUGUGAAAUCCCCGGGCUCAACCUGGGAAUUGCAUUGGAGACUGCAAGGCUAGAAUCUGGCAGAGGGGGGUAGAAUUCCACGUGUAGCAGUGAAAUGCGUAGAUAUGUGGAGGAACACCGAUGGCGAAGGCAGCCCCCUGGGUCAAGAUUGACGCUCAUGCACGAAAGCGUGGGGAGCAAACAGGAUUAGAUACCCUGGUAGUCCACGCCCUAAACGAUGUCUACUAGUUGUCGGGUCUUAAUUGACUUGGUAACGCAGCUAACGCGUGAAGUAGACCGCCUGGGGAGUACGGUCGCAAGAUUAAAACUCAAAGGAAUUGACGGGGACCCGCACAAGCGGUGGAUGAUGUGGAUUAAUUCGAUGCAACGCGAAAAACCUUACCUACCCUUGACAUGGCUGGAAUCCUUGAGAGAUCAGGGAGUGCUCGAAAGAGAACCAGUACACAGGUGCUGCAUGGCUGUCGUCAGCUCGUGUCGUGAGAUGUUGGGUUAAGUCCCGCAACGAGCGCAACCCUUGUCAUUAGUUGCUACGAAAGGGCACUCUAAUGAGACUGCCGGUGACAAACCGGAGGAAGGUGGGGAUGACGUCAAGUCCUCAUGGCCCUUAUGGGUAGGGCUUCACACGUCAUACAAUGGUACAUACAGAGCGCCGCCAACCCGCGAGGGGGAGCUAAUCGCAGAAAGUGUAUCGUAGUCCGGAUUGUAGUCUGCAACUCGACUGCAUGAAGUGGAAUCGCUAGUAAUCGCGG